GCACUACCUUAUAUUCUUUGUACAACUGCUUCAAAAUAAAUCUGUUUACACUUGGAAUUAAGAGCAUUGCAUGGUAAUUCCAAGCUUAUGUUCUUUUACUUUCCUUUCUUUGUAAUUUAUUUCAUUAAACUGAUUCCAGGUCCUGUUACUCCCAGGUAGCCAGCAGUGAAGCAGUGAAGCUCUUUGACAAAGUACAGGUGUUCCAAUCAGCUCACAAGGAGACCCAAGGAGACAAGAGGAAGGAGGACCAAGUUAGUGGGAAAAAAAAGGAUAUUCAAGAGACAAUGCUACUACUACUUCAAAAAAUCGAGGAGGAUGUCCGAGAAAUCAAGGAGGAUGUCCGAAAACUCAAGGAGGAUGUUCGCCUUAUCAAGAACUGGAUAGACAUGAACCCAAAAUGUGGUGCAAACUUGACUGUGGAAACCACUGUGGAAAUCUCCUUUGAGAUUCUUCGGUCAUUUGGCUUUAGAGCUAAUUCACUGGAAGAAGUAAAAUGCUGAAUGUCAUCUUGUACGCAGCAAGAAAUUGGAUAACUACUUGAGUGGGAACAGCAGUUCUCAGAGGAACACCAAGAUGAGGAGAAGAACCGUGCCACCUUGCUGAAGAUCCUGAUGGAGUUGGCACCAAAGCCAAAACAUGGCAGCAAGAUCUCUGCAUUAGACAUAAUUCAAGUGUCCAUGCAGAGACUUGCUGGUGAUUGGCUUUGGCAAUACAUUUGUGCCACAGGAAGAUCGGGGAAAAGAUGUCCAUGAGCAGUAAGAUUCCUCAAGUCAUGGACAUUAUUCUUCUAACUGCUUGUAAGACCCUAUCAAUAGAUCCAAAAAAAGCAACAACUGCUCUGUCAAUCUACUUGAAAAACACCAGCACCAGAGCAUCAGCUAAACAACACAGACAAAAGUUUGGGGUAGGUGGGCGCCAGAACCUACAGUUACAUACCAAUGUUGAGAAUGGAAGAGCACAACUGGCAAUUGAUCAUUCAGAGGGAAGAGAGGCCGGCAGUAGCAGUGAAAAAUCAGUCUCUACAGGAUCUACUAGAAAUAUCUGAUGACUCAGAUACAUGAGUUAUUUCUUUCCAGAUAUUGUACGAUUGUUUUUAUGAUGUAGGUUGGAUAUGAUAUGGUAUCCUAUUUGACUUUCAAUGUUAUUAUUGUGUAACAACGUAAGUGUGUCUUGCGCUCAUUUGUACUUGACAGUAACAAUCAAUUCUAACAGAAAAUAACAAAAAUAAUGAUAAAGAAUAAUUUAUGUGUAUAUGAGGAGUUCCUCUUCUCGAGUUGCCAAGUGGCUAGCUAGUGAGUGCAUUGUCUCACCACCACCUCUGCUCUGGGACACGGGAGCUGCGGCCUCCCCUCCCUCCCUGCCUCCCCCUCACAUCCAUCCCGCUGUCUCUGUUCUUUCUUCCUUCCUUAUAGAGGAAAUAGGUUGCUCUCUCUCUCUCUCUCUCUCUCUCUCUCUCUCUCUCUCUCUCUCACACACACACACACACACACACUAUUUAAUUUUUUAAUUGCACUUGGAAAAAUUUUGUAUUUUUUUAUUGGAGCAGCCCCUAGUGAGAUAUUCCUCCCCUCAUGUGUUUGUCCUUGGCCUGUCUCCUUUACAUGUAAAAUAAAGAAACAAAAAUAUAACAUUGUUUUUUGCCCAUUUUAUUUAGGUAUUUAUUACUGUACAAUGAAAGGAUUAUUUUCAUAAAUGUAUCAUGAUUAAUAAAUUAUAUGUUUAAAUACAAGUAUCAUUCAACAUAGAUGUACGGAAUAUUGCAUAGAUGCGUGCAUACAAGGCGGCAUUUGUCCAUAACGGCUCACUGAUACCAGGUCACUGUUGUACUGUUAGGUGAACACAGGCUGCGAAAGAGUGUUAAAGGAGACUGCUCAUCCAUCUAGCUCACAGCUUCCAGAUCCUUGAUCUACUUCACUUCUGUUAGUUACAUCCACAUUGGACACCCUGUCCUGCCACCUGAUCCCCGCCAUAUACUACAGCGUUCUGUGAUCAUUUGCUCUCAAUACCCAGUAUAUAUAUGGUUUCAGGUUUGUUUGAAGCAUUCGGAAAGGUAUGUUUCAGGUUCAUUUGAAGCAUUCGGAAAGGUGUGUUUCAGGUUUGUUGGAAGCAUUCACGAACGUUCGUAAAACAUUCCAUGAGCGAUUUUUUGUUUACAAAAAUUGUUAUUUUCAGAGCUCAUUUCAGGUUCACGACCAUAGGUUUGCGCGCCCCCAGGAAAUGUUCAACAAACUCUCAUAGAACUUUAAAUUUCCGGGUGGGGGGUUGCAUCACCUCGCCACCGUACAACGCCAAACCCGGGAAUCUUUCUGGGCAAGGAAGUCUCCAUGCCGGCACCAUGAACUCUGUGGGUGUCCCUUAGGCCUCCUUCACUUGAGAUUGUCUCACAGAAACAACCUGAUGAGCAGGGUCACCUUCUGGGUAGCAUGCCACAUGCCCAUACAGCCGGAGUUGGUGUUCACACACUAUGCAGGUAACAAGGCUCGAUCUAGUCUCAUGGAGUAAUUGCUGGUUUGACACAAAGUCAUUCUAGCAAUAUCUCAUGAUUCUGCAUAGACACUCAUUAGCAAAGGCAUCAAUCCACCUCUUCGUCACUAAUUAGUGUCCAUGACUUACAGCCAUAGAGUAAGACAGGGACCACAAGCGAUUUGAUGAGCCAGAUCUUUGUCCUUCUGCACCUUAAUCCUUUCACCAGUAUUUGCACAAAUAUGCGAUCAAAAAAUUAUUGGUCCAGACGAGUGAAAUCGCAAAAAUGUCACAACCUUCAAAAAAACUUUUCCUCUUGUGUACACGAAGGCAUCUCCAGAUCAAAUCUGCUUCCCGCUGCCAAUGUUGUCACCAGCGCUGCCAUGGAGACAAGAGAAUGGGAACAUUUUCAUUCAGCUGGAAGGGCACCACAGCCUCUCAGGCCUCACUAUUUUCUUCACUUUCUUCACUUUUAAUCGCAAUUUAUGUAUGUUUUAUGUAUCACGGUGUACACUUGCUAAAUGCACAAGCCUGGUACAUAGAAUAAGUGUGAUUCAUUUCAGGUAGGUAACCAAGUUGAGCCUCUCUUCGAGCUAUUUUGCGGCAGCAGCAGCGGUUUACAUUCAAUAGGCAUUGAAAAGUCAAUCAUGAUAUUAGUGAUUUCAUGAUUUUUAACAGAAAGAGUUAGCAGAUUAUUUCAUAACACACAGAAAACUACCAGAAAAAUAUAGGUUUGUCCAACUGUCCGACGGCCGGUGACCGCAAGCGUCCGCCCUUACUUUAGCAGACGACACCACGUGGAUCACAAGCGUGUAUUCAGAACUGCCAGCCAGUUGUGAGGCAGCUGCCUUCAACUGGGGCUUCAAAACGAUCUAUUCUUACUUCCCAUUUUCUGUCUAUUAACAAGGUACAUAUUUUGAGAUAGCAAGGGAGUAAAGUCGAAAAAAUUGAGAUGACAAUUAAGGGAGUAUAGUCGGACAAAGUCAUUAUUUUCCAUGGGUUGGAACCAAUAAGCGCUUUUA